UAGGAUGUGUUAGGUGAGAAAAGUUAAACAUGAAGCAGUUAUGCCAACCGAACCAAAGUCAGGCCAAGAAAGGCUGCUGAGAAAGUCUCUGAAAGUAGAAUGAAGGAAUACUUGUUUAAGUUACAGAGAGUGAGAAAAAAGGGGAGGCCUGCAUUCCUGCAUUUUUGUACCAGAUAUUCUGGGAACAGUCCUUGAGAUACGGGGGCACUGUUUUCCACUCCCUAUUUUUGUGUUAUGUCUGUUCUUAACUCCUCGUCUCCUGGUUGACACCCAUACCGAUAAGAAAGUUAGUGAAGCAUUAUGAUUUGCUAAAAGUUAUCUACAAUAAGGGGGUAGAAGUGCAUGCAUAAUAGAGAAAGAGGAUUUUUAACUAACAUGGGGGGGGCUGCUUUAUGAAUAAAUCUGUGAUGCAACUAGACUGUCUAUAAAUACCUACUAGUUUUAUUUAGAGGCGGCUGGUUCUCUUUGGAGACUGGCUGCUCUCUAUUGUGUGUGCACUCUUCAAUAAAGAGCUUUGUGUUCGGACCUUGCUGGUGUUGCCUGUCUCUCUCUGGUCAGACAAGGAACCGUGCCAUCUGGGGUUCGAGUCCUCGACAAUUUGGUGACUCCGCUGGGACCCGUCUGACUCUCCGGCGUGGGAUCAGACUCUAAAGCAACGCAGCGCGCAUCCUCCGGUUUCAAGGAGCCUUGCCAGUGAUCUGAUCCCUGCGUCAGCGAUAAGGCAUGCUCUGUGAACCAGCAGGAGCCCAUAGAAAUCCAGCAACGUUCACCUAUCCUUUGAGUAGGAUCCAGAUCCAGGUCUUCAGGGCUCGAGUCCCUGGAGAAGGUGACUGGGUCUACAUAAAGGUCCAUCAAUGAAAGAUUACUCUGGCCCCAUGCUGGAAAGGCACUUAUUAAGUGCUGCUAAUUACCAACACCGCUGUGAAGUGCCAAGGACUGACUGCCUGGACCCAUGCGUCUUACUGCAAAAAGACCCCUCCACCUCGAGAUGACUUCAUUCGAUACUGCUCAGCCUGUCUCUCCUUCUGGGUUUUUUCUUUCCUCCUUUUGAUCAUCAGGGGAAAGGACAAGAUGAAGUGCUAGUAACCUCUCCCUUGUCCCUGACAAAGCUAACCUGCAUUGCGCAGCUAGGGAACCUAACCUGGAAAAAGGUUCCCCAGAAGCAGACGGCAUCGGACUUCAAGGGAGCUACGCAUGUUCACCUCACCGUGAACCAGGUGAAUCAGAAGCAGAUGACAUCUGUGCUCAAGACAAAUGGAUUGCCACCCCUUUGGGCAACCUGAAGCUCCGACUGCAGCUAAAAAAACCUUGAGUUGGUGGUGUCCACUCAGAGAGGGAUGGCCCUGUUCUUUAGGCUGGGUUUAUGUGUUUUUAAUCUGUUUGUUAUUUGUUAUCUUUCUUUUUUGGUGGUACGGGGAGUUGAGACUAUAGAAGCACACAGAUCUAACACAUUUAUACGUCUUGCCCAUGAAAUGAAAGCUCGUAUGCCAGCCUACAAAACACUUCAUGCUGGGUGUGCUCAUUAAUACCAGCAGAUAGCCGAAAAGGUCUUCCCAUGGUUCCUAUUCCUCUAAGUGCAAUGAAUAUGACCUAGACCCCGUCUUGGAAGGAUUCUUCAGGCAAUUUAAAUAUUACCUAGGCCGAUACUGGCAUCUCUGAAAGCAGGUAUUUAAUAGUAUGGAAAUGAGUGUUGGUCAAUGGUGCCUCUUAAAAGAAGGGAAAAUAGCUAUGGGUAAUAGUGAGUGGAAAGCCUACUUUAAUGGCACUCAUUUUGGGAGUAAGAGAGGUCCUAAUAUCUCUCUCUUGGAUGGGGCAACCUCUUGCAUCUCUGCGUGGCAUAGAGUUGCGGGUAACAAGUGCAGUCUGCGUGGAGAAGAACAUUUUCUGUAUAAAGAUCAUACAUUGAUUGAGCAUUACGUUAUAAAUUGCAUGCUUGGGUAUAACUUGCCAACUCAUACUAUGUGUUUAUGUUCCUCUAACACCUCCGCGGCUAAAUUAUCCCUUCUCCCAUCUUGGACCGGAUGGUAUAAAAUUAUUAAUAAUACCUGGUCCAAAGUCAUUCCUACCCUUUUUGGAGUAUACCGGAUGUGUGGUAACAAGGCAUACCUAGCCCUCCCUCCUUCAUGGAGUAGAUCCUGCUAUUUGGCUUGGGUAGAACCACCUGUCGUAUAUCAUGCACACCUUACUAAAGGGAAAAUCAGAAAUGUAAGAGGGGCUGAGGAAGAUGUUAAGGACUCCCACUCCCUUACUUGGCGUGCCUUAAAUGAUUGGAUGGGUGCUUGUGCGGGAUUUGUCUUCGCCUGUGGAGGUGCCACCUGGUGUAUUGGAGAUAAUGGCAAAUACCAUUGCUGAUGCCUUGGUAGAUUUGGCAACCGAACAAAAAAAACUAAGGUGGAUGGUUCUCCAAAACCGCUUGGCAUUAGAUAUUUUGCUGACCUCUCAGGGAGGAACACGUGCAUUAAUUGGGCAAGAAUGCUGCGUAUAUGUUCCGGAUGUUUAUAACGCCACCUGGGAAAGAGCAAACCAUCUUAUACAAGUUGCAAAAGACCAUGGAGGAGAGCGAGGAGAGCGAGUCAUGGUGGAGCAAUUUGUUCAAUUGGGUUCCAGAUAUAGGUGGCUGGUUACAUAAGUUGCUUCACUGUGCCGCUGUAAUUAUUUGUGGCCUAAUAGUUUUGUAUGUUAUGUUAAGAUGUAGCUGUUGGAUGGGUACCAAGCUGUGCCCUACCAACCAGUGAAUAGUCCUAAGUCACUACACACAGUGGCCAGUAUGUCCCAAGAGUUCCCCUAUGGCACUCUGGGGAUAAAGGGGGGACUGUUAGGUGAGAAAAGUUAAACAUGAAGCAGUUAUGCCAACCGAACCAAAGUCAGGCCAAGAACGGCUGCUGAGAAAGUCUCUGAAAGUAGAAUGAAGGAAUACUUGUUUAAGUUAGAGAGAGUGAGAAAAAAGGGGAGGCCUGCAUUCCUGCAUUUUUGUACCAGAUAUUCUGGGAACAGUCCUUGAGAUAUGGGGGCACUGUUUUCCACUCCUUGUUUUUGUGUUAUGUCUGUUCUUAAAUCCUCAUCUCCUGGUUGACACCCAUACCGAUAAGAAAGUUAGUGAAGCAUUACAAUUUGCUAAAAGUUAUCUACAAUAAGGGGGUAGAAGUGCAUGCAUAAUAGAGAAAGAGGAUUUUUAACUAACAUGGGGGGGUGGGCUGCUUUAUGAAUAAAUCUGUGAUGCAACGGGACUGUCUAUAAAAACCUAUUAGUUUUAUUUAUGGCUUAUUUAUGGCGGCUGGUUCUCUUUGGAGACGGGCUGCUCUCUAUUGUUGUGUGAACUCUUCAAUAAAGAGCUUUGUGUUCGGA